rnacentral:rRNA from 3 species
GGUCAAGCGAUGAAGCGCAUACGGUGGAUGCCUAGGCAGCCAGAGGCGAUGAAAGACGUGGAAGCCUGCGAUAAGGCUCGGCGAGGUGGCAAACAACCUGUGACCCGGGCAUCUCUGAAUGGGGAAACCCACCCACGGUAACGUGGGUAUCCCGCACUGAAUCCAUAGGUGGCGGGAGGCGAACCAGGGGAACUGAAACAUCUAAGUACCCUGAGGAAAAGAAAUCAACCGAGAUUCCCCCAGUAGCGGCGAGCGAACGGGGACCAGCCCUUAAGCAGGUGACUGAUUAGACGAACGCGUUGGGAAGCGCGGCCAUAGUGGGUGAUAGCCCCGUAGUCGAAAAUCUGAUCCUGUGAAAUCGAGUAGGUCGGGGCACGAGAAACCUUGACUGAAGACGGGGGGACCAUCCUCCAAGGCUAAAUACUCCUGGCUGACCGAUAGUGAACCAGUACCGUGAGGGAAAGGCGAAAAGAACCCCGGAGAGGGGAGUGAAAUAGAUCCUGAAACCGUAUGCGUACAAGCAGUGGGAGCAGACUCGUUCUGUGACCGCGUACCUUUUGUAUAAUGGGUCAGCGACUUAUUUUCAGUGGCGAGCUUAACCGUAUAGGGGAGGCGUAGGGAAACCGAGUCUUAACUGGGCGACCAGUCGCUGGGAAUAGACCCGAAACCGGGCGAUCUAUCCAUGAGCAGGUUGAAGGUUGAGUAACAUCAACUGGAGGACCGAACCCACGUAUGUUGAAAAAUGCGGGGAUGACUUGUGGAUCGGAGUGAAAGGCUAAUCAAGCCCGGAGAUAGCUGGUUCUCCUCGAAAGCUAUUUAGGUAGCGCCUCACGUAGCACCGCCGGGGGUAGAGCACUGUUUCGGCUAGGGGGUCAUCCCGACUUACCAACCCGAGGCAAACUCCGAAUACCGGUGAGUGACGCGUGGGAGACACACAGUGGGUGCUAACGUCCAUUGUGAAAAGGGAAACAACCCAGACCGUCAGCUAAGGUCCCCAAAUCCUGGUUAAGUGGGAAACGAUGUGGGAAGGCUCAGACAGCUAGGAGGUUGGCUUAGAAGCAGCCAUCCUUUAAAGAAAGCGUAAUAGCUCACUAGUCGAGUCGGCCUGCGCGGAAGAUAUAACGGGGCUAAACCAGGUACCGAAGCUACGGGUUCAUCGAAUGAUGAGCGGUAGAGGAGCGUCGUGUAAGCCAAUGAAGGGAGAUCGAGAGGUCUGCUGGAGGUAUCACGAGUGCGAAUGCUGACAUGAGUAACGACAAGGGAGGUGAAAAACCUCCCCGCCGGAAGACCAAGGGUUUCUGUUCGACGCUAAUCGGAGCAGAGUGAGUCGGCCCCUAAGGCGAGGCCGAAAGGCGUAGUCGAUGGGAAACGGGUUAAUAUUCCCGUACCUCACUGUAUUGCGAUGGGGAGACGGAGAAGGCUA